CGCAAUAUUAAGGAUGGGGUGAGGGAAAAGGAUGCACUGAUUUAUGAACCGGGGCACAAAACGAACGCUUCCUCUGACUCCGCCUACCACUAAAUCACUCCCUCCAGUUUCCCGCCACAGCAGUUCAGAAACAGCAUGCAGUGAAGUGUGGUGGUCUGGCAACGGCGUUGUUGUCUGAGUAUUGCAGUCAUCUGGUUCCUGUCUUCCAGCCAGUCGUACUCAGUGCUACACUCAGGUAUACGUUAUCUUAGUGUAACCAGAGGAGGGUCCGUAACUAUACCAAUAACUGAUGGCCAAUGUCCUGAGUCGGACUUCGGAUUAUACACAGAGAGAAAAGGCCCAGUGGUCACUUAUGAGAACAACGUGAUCACCGAGGGACCAAAUUAUCUGGGCAGGAUCCAGCUGAUGAACGACUCCAAUGGCUGUACUGUUGUAAUUCACAAUGUAACCGAAGAAGAUACAGAGACAGUUUAUUAUACAGACGGUGGUCUUCCAGGUCAAAUAAGAAUUGUACUUGAAAUGACAAACAUUACUGAGAGUUCAACCACUACAGCAGCCCCACAACUAUCUACAACCACACGAGGAGGUAGCACUGAGAGUCUGACCACCACAGCAGCCCCACAACAAUCUUCAACCACACCAGGUCUACUUGUGGAACAUCUUGCUGGACUGGUACCAGUAGGGGGGCUGGUGGUGGUGGUGGUGGUAUGCAUCAGGAUAUGUAAAAACAAAAAGUUGAAGGAAGAACCUCCCUUGGCCGAGCUCCAAGUUCUAAAUCAAAACACAUCAAUGGACACAGCAGAACAAUGAAAAUGAUAUCUUGUUACUAAGGCUGGCCAGACAAUCUGGACCCUCUCUUUCUAAAACUAUCCUCCACCAUUGUUGCAACCCCUAUUACCAGCCUGUUCAACCUCUUUUGUAUCGUCCAAGAUCCCUAAAGAUUGGAAAGCUGCCGCGGUCAUCCCCCUCUUCAAAGUGGGUGACACCCAAGACCCAAACUGUUACAGACCUAUAUCCAUCCUGCCCUGCCUUUCUAAAGUUUUGAAAGCCAAGUUAAUAAACAGAUCACUGACCAUUUCGAAUCCCACCGUAACUUCUCCGCUGUGCAAUCCGGCUUCCGAGCCGGGCAAUGGUGCACUUCAGCCAUGCUCAAGGUACUAAACAAUAUCAUAACCGUCAUCGAUUAAAGACCGUACUGUGCAGCCGCCUUCAUCGACCUGGCCAAGGCUUUCGACUCUGUCAAUCGCCGUAUUCUUAUCGGCAGACUCAAUAGCCUUGGUUUUUCUAAUGACUGCCUCGCCUGGUUCACCGACUACUUUGCAGACGGAGUUCAGUGUGUCAAAUCGGAGGCCAUGUUGUCCGGACCUCUGGCAGUCUCUAUGGGGGUACCACAGGGUUCAAUUCUCUGGCUGACUCUUUUCCCUGUAUAUAUCAAUGAUGUCGCUCUUGCUGCGGGCGAUUCCCUGAUCCACCUCUACGCAGGCGACACCAUUCUGUAUACUUCUGGCCUUUCCUUGGACACUGUGCUAACUAACCUCCAAACGAGCUUCAAUGCCAUACAACACUCCUUCCGUGGCCUCCAACUGCUCUUAAACACUAAUAAAACCAAAUGCAUGCUUUUUAAUCGUUCGCUGCCCACACCCGCCCGCCCGACUAGCAUCACCACCCUGGACGGUUCCAUCCUAGAAUAUGUGGACAACUAUAUAUACCUAGGUGUCUGGCUAGACUGUAAACUCUCCAGACUCAUAUUAAACAUCUCCAAUCCAAAAUCAAAUCUAGAAUCGGCUUUCUAUUUCGCAACAAAGCCUCCUUCACUCACGCCGCCAAACUUACCCUAGUAAAACUGACUAUCCUACCGAUCCUCGACUUCGGCGAUGCCAUCUACAAAUUUAGCUUCCAACACUCUACUCAGCAAACUGGAUGCAGUCUAUCACAGUGCCAUCUGUUUUGUUACCAAAUCACCUUAUACCACCCACCACUGUGACCUGUAUGUUCGAGUCGGCUGGCCCUUGCUUCAUAUUCGUUACCAGACCCACUGGCUCCAGGUCAUCUAUAAGUCUAUGCUAGGUAAAGCUCCGCCUUAUCUCAGUUCACCGGUCACGAUAACGACACCCACCCGUAGCACACGUUCCAGCAGGUAUAUCUCACUGAUCAUCCCCAAAGCCAACACCUCAUUUGGCCGCCUUUCCUUCCAGGUCUCUGCUGACAGUGACUGGAACGAAUUGCAAAAAGCUAUCUGAGCAGCUAACCAACCGCUGCAGCUGUACUUAGUCCAUCUGUAAAUAGCCCACCCAAUCUACCUACCUCAUCCCAUACUGUUUUUAUUGUAUUUACUUUUCUGCUCUUUUGCACACCAGUAUCUCUACUUGCACAUCAUUUGCUCAUUUAUCACUCGUGUUAAUCUGCUAAAUUGUUAUUAUUUGCUCCUAUGGCCUAUUUAUUGCCUACCUCCUCAUGCCUUUUGCACACAAUGUAUAUAGACUUUCUUUUUUUCUACUGUGUCAUUGACUUGUUUAUUGUUUACUCCAUGUGUAACUCUGUCUGUGUCACACUGCUUUGCUUUAUCUUGGCCAGGUCGCAGUUGCAAAUGAGAACUUGUUCUCAACUAGCCUACCUGGUUAAAUUAAGGUGAAAUUAAAAAUAGAAAUAUUGCCCUGUCUUUGGGCUUGCCAUGAGCAUUUCUAAUCAAUCAAAUCAAACUCAGGGGCAUGUUGAUUGCUGCUUUGCGCCGGUGGAAUCUUGUUGAAAGUGCCUUCUAAAUGCAAUGUCCCAUUCACUUCUAUUGGGCAUCAGCUUAGUGGUGGCUUAAGUUAUGACAUUUUGAAGUGGCUGUUUAAAGGGAACUGAACCAUGCAUUACUGUUUCUCCUGGCCCAAGGACUUGACAGAGUGAGGAGGCUAACAAUAAGUUGUGGAAAAUCCUAAACUAUCACUUUAAACCCUCAGCCUUACUGUAUAACUACUGUACUUAUGAUUUUCUUCAACCUUUAUAACAGUUGAUCAUUGUCAGCAUUACAUUCUGUGUUCCCUAUUCUGGGAGAUGUGCACAAUUUACUGUACUGUCAUUGUACUGAUACCAAAACCAUUAUGUUCUAUUGUAUGAUUACACCUAUUAUGAUAAUGGGAUCAUUCAAAUACAUAUUUAUGAUCCAAGAUUUUCUUUUAAGAUCAACAUAGUUGGAUUUUAUUUGUAUUUUUUACUGAAGGUAAUUUGAAAGUAACAAAUUGUGCACACUGCUGUUUUUAAAUGCACUUUUGUGACAACCUGAUGUAUGUACAGUUAUCUAAUUAAUAUUUUUGCUAAUGUAGAUGUGAAUUGGCCCCUCGCGAUAUUAAGACUGGUCGAUACACAAACAUUCCCUUCAGAUGAACGUGACUGUUCUUUCUGUAAUGAUGGUUCCCUUGAAAAAAUAGGGAUCUUUUUUGCCAACUGUCCAGCCAUAAUGAAAUGCUACAUGUUACAGGUAACAAUGUGAAUGUCUUUUCAAUGCUUGCUGUCUCAUCCUCUAUCACAGACCUUUUAGAAGUUCCUGAAUGUCCUCUUAUUUACUCUACUUUGUUUAUGUAUCGAUAGCAAUAAUGUUUAGAUGAUUGAAUCUAUUUUAGAGGACUCCAAGGAAAAUUCUGUGCAAUGUUUGACUGACUGCUUUUAGUGUCUCAACUGUGUGGUCCACAAUGUGUUUUAAAAAUAUAUAUUUUGUAUUGUCAACCAGUUGUGGAGUGACAGAAAUGUUUUUAACCUUUUGAAUAAAAUCUUGCUCUUUUCUGAUUUGUA